AUGGACCAGACGCGGUGGGCGGACCUCCUGCCGGACUUGCUGUGCGAGAUCGCCGCAUGGCUGGACGACGUCGCCGACUUCGUCCGCUUCCAUGCCGUCUGCAAGCCAUGGCGUGCCUCACGCGACGAGGCGCGGCCGCCGUUGUUCCUGCCUUGGCUCCUCGCGGCGGACGGCAAAGAUUCGGCCGCCCUCCGAUUCAGAUGCAUCUUCUCCAAGUCCAGCUAUCGGUCCAUGCUGCCGUCCACGCCACCGAGGUACCGGGUGUGCAGCGCCACCGCCAUCAGAUACCUCACCAUUGAACAUCCCCGCCAUUGUCUCUACGAUCUUCUCACCCGAGAAACCGCCCAUAACAUGCCUCGUCUCCCGUACAACGUCCGCAGUCAGUGGGACAAGAAUAAUCCCCAGGGAAUUAUCUACGGCGAUGGCAAGAUCCUGCUCUACAGCAGCAGCAUCACCAACAUCAGCUAUGAUCAUUCCAUCAGGGCCAUGUUCACGGCGGCUCUCCUGCACCCUGGGGACUCAAAGUGGACUCUCAUCGACACGACUUUUGAUGACGUCAAACACUUGGAGUGCCGUGCUGCGUACCACGGAGGCAGGAUCCUGGUCACUAUGGGGACCGGUAGUAUCUUGCAGGUCAUCAUGCCAGAAGCCGCCGCCACCGGUGACUUGUUGGUCCCUGGCGAAUACGAGUGCAAGGACUGCUACGUCUUUGAGUCCCAUGGCGAGCUGUUAUGGGCAUCGGUUCGCACCUCCUACAGUGUUUCCUGCAAAGAAGGUACCCGCAACGUUGAUGCCCUAUGGGUGUUGGUGCAUAAGCUAGAGGAGGAGGACGCGGGGGCGCAAGGGAAGAAGAUGCGGUGGGAAAUCACUAAGAGGUGCAAGGCUCUAGAAGUGAAGCACAAGCAGCAGAAGACAGCUCCAGUAACUAGCCUACCAAGCAUUAUUCACUUCUCGAAACAUUACGAGCCUUGUUUCAGGGUGAUGGUGCGUAAUUUGCCUAUCACGGUGAAUGGCUCCCAGCUGGAACUUUUUUUCGGCAAGCACGGCAAAGUGACUAGCGCCGAGGUACUCUACCACAAAGAUACCAAGUGCUCCCAGGGUGUCGGUUUUGUAACCAUGUCGACGGUGUAUGCUCAUCCACAAGAUGCCAUAGAUGCUUUUGGCAAAAUGAUUUUGGAUGGAUGCAGUCUCGAGGUUACGCUGGUCAAGCAGGGACGGCCACGGUACCACCAACGACAUCGCCUUCCAUCUUAA
rnacentral:rRNA from 1 species